rnacentral:rRNA from 1 species
AUGCCCUUCCGUGCGCGUCUGAUCCUUGAUGGCGAAGCCUGGUUCGACGGGGCUUGCAACGCUCUGGGAGCGCUCUGCAUCGGCGAUGCCCCUCCGGGUUUUGGCGCUCCUGCGACACCUUCUCUGUCCGGCUUGGCGCCUGUGAGCCUCUGCACUCCCGUGCGCUCUGAGACGACCGCGGUCGACUCUCCGCCUGGCAGCGGACCCAUGAUCACUCCGGUGGCCUCUCCCCUACCUCCGGCGGCGCUCCUGGGUCUCUACCCCGCGGCCUCCCCUGCCCGUGCGAGUCUCGCAGGUGCCACCGUUGUGCCGACGACGCUGGUCUCCUCUCCGGCCUCCCCUGCCCAGGCGGACCUCCUUGGCGCCUCUGCCGCGGUGCCGGAGGGCGCCUUCAUGCCUGCUGCCGAUGCAGUUCUAGGGGGUGCUGACACGCUUGCUGUCGGCGAGCUUGGCCGGUUCCUAGACUCCAUCGCUGCCCCCCUGCAGCGCCCCUGUUGCCUGCCCCGGUGCGGAAGCCUACCAGAACUCGUGGAGCCAGAGGCGUCAACCUCUCCUCGCCUCGCAGGAGCGGGAGGAUCGCCCGAAAGAAGACGCGACAGUGCCUCCAGGGUAGCUCGGUGGUCCAGGAGAUGA